rnacentral:rRNA from 1 species
GGCUCAGGAUGAACGCUAGCUACAGGCUUAACACAUGCAAGUCGAGGGGCAUCAGGAAGAAAGCUUGCUUUCUUUGCUGGCGACCGGCGCACGGGUGAGUAACACGUAUCCAACCUGCCCUUUACUCGGGGAUAGCCUUUCGAAAGAAAGAUUAAUACCCGAUAGCAUAAUGAUUCCGCAUGGUUUCAUUAUUAAAGGAUUCCGGUAAAGGAUGGGGAUGCGUUCCAUUAGGUUGUUGGUGAGGUAACGGCUCACCAAGCCUUCGAUGGAUAGGGGUUCUGAGAGGAAGGUCCCCCACAUUGGAACUGAGACACGGUCCAAACUCCUACGGGAGGCAGCAGUGAGGAAUAUUGGUCAAUGGGCGGUAGCCUGAACCAGCCAAGUAGCGUGAAGGAUGAAGGCUCUAUGGGUCGUAAACUUCUUUUAUAUAAGAAUAAAGUGCAGUAUGUAUACUGUUUUGUAUGUAUUAUAUGAAUAAGGAUCGGCUAACUCCGUGCCAGCAGCCGCGGUAAUACGGAGGAUCCGAGCGUUAUCCGGAUUUAUUGGGUUUAAAGGGAGCGUAGGUGGACUGGUAAGUCAGUUGUGAAAGUUUGCGGCUCAACCGUAAAAUUGCAGUUGAUACUGUCAGUCUUGAGUACAGUAGAGGUGGGCGGAAUUCGUGGUGUAGCGGUGAAAUGCUUAGAUGUCACGAAGAACUCCGAUUGCGAAGGGCAGCUCACUGGACUGCAACUGACACUGAUGCUCGAAAGUGUGAGUAUCAAACAGGAUUAGAUACCCCUGGUAGUCCACACAGUAAACGAUGAAUACUCGCUGUUUGCGAUAUACAGUAAGCGGCCAAGCGAAAGCAUUAAGUAUUCCACCUGGGGAGUACGCCGGCAACGGUGAAACUCAAAGGAAUUGACGGGGGCCCGCACAAGCGGAGGAACAUGUGGUUUAAUUCGAUGAUACGCGAGGAACCUUACCCGGGCUUAAAUUGCAGUGGAAUGAUGUGGAAACAUGUCAGUGAGCAAUCACCGCUGUGAAGGUGCUGCAUGGUUGUCGUCAGCUCGUGCCGUGAGGUGUCGGCUUAAGUGCCAUAACGAGCGCAACCCUUAUCUUUAGUUACUAACAGGUCAUGCUGAGGACUCUAGAGAGACUGCCGUCGUAAGAUGUGAGGAAGGUGGGGAUGACGUCAAAUCAGCACGGCCCUUACGUCCGGGGCUACACACGUGUUACAAUGGGGGGUACAGAAGGCAGCUAGCGGGUGACCGUAUGCUAAUCCCAAAAGCCUCUCUCAGUUCGGAUCGAAGUCUGCAACCCGACUUCGUGAAGCUGGAUUCGCUAGUAAUCGCGCAUCAGCCACGGCGCGGUGAAUACGUUCCCGGGCCUUGUACACACCGCCCGUCAAGCCAUGGGAGCCGGGGGUACCUGAAGUGCGUAACCGCAAGGAUCGUCCUAGGGUAAAACU